rnacentral:rRNA from 1 species
ACAUGCAGUCGAGCGGAAUGGAUUAAGAACUUGCUCUUAUGAAUUUCGCGGCGGACGGGUGAGUAACACGUGGGUAACCUGCCCUUAACACGGGGAUUACUCCAGGAAACCUGGGCUAAUACCCGAUAACAUUUUGAACGGCAAGGUUCGAAAUUGAAAGGCCGCUUCCGCUGUCAUUUAUGGAUGGACCCGCGUCGCAUUGGCUAGUUGGUGGCGUACCAGCGCACCAAGGCAACGAUGCUUAGCCAACCUGAUAGGGUGAUCUGCCACACUGGGACUGACACAACGCCCAGACUCCGACGGGAGGCAGCAUUAUGGAAUCUUCCCCAAUGCACGAAACUCCGACAGAGCAACGCCGCAUAAGUGAUUAAGGCUUUCAGGUCCUAAAACUCUGUUGUAAGGGAAGAACACUUGCACCUUGAAGAAGCUGGCGCCUUGACGGUACCUAACCAGAAAGCCUCCGCUAACUACGUGCCAGCAGCCGCAGUGAUACGUACGUGGCUCGCAUUAUCCGGAAUUAUUGGGCGUAUAGCUCGCGCAUGUGGUUUCUUAUGUCUGAUGUGAACUCCCACGGCUCACCCGUGUAGGGUCAUUGCAACCUGGGAGACUUAAGUGCAAAAGAGGAUCGUGGAAUUCCAUGUGUAUGCGUGAAGUGCGUAGAGAUAUGGAGGAACACCAGUGGCGACCGCGACUUUCUGGUCUGUAGCUGACACUGAGGCGCGAGAGCGUGGGGGAACAAACAGGACUAGAUACCCUGGUACUCCACGCCGUAAACGAUGAGUGCUAUGUGUUUUAGGGUUUCCCUCCCUUUAGCUGCUGAAGUUAACUCAUCGACCAGCUCCAGCCCGGGGCAGUACGAGCUCGACACUGCAUGAAGACUCGACGCAGUCACGGGCGGCCCGCAGGAGUCUGUGGAUUCUAUGUCGAUUGCAUUCGAAAGCAACCC